rnacentral:antisense_RNA from 1 species
CAAAAAGUAAGCACUUUCAGAGCCCAACCCUUCAAGGAGCUGCUGCUGCAGAAGGAGCCCUGUCCCCGGAAGCUCGCUGUCACGAGGGGCCUCUGACAUCUCCUUCUUGAGAGAAAGGUCGCCUGGCCUGGGUGAGGUCGUAGUUCCCGCGACCCCGUGCUUGCAAGUACUGGCUGCCUCCUACUAUAGUGUAAACUCCAGGAAGGAUCCCACAGGGGACCUGACAGCUCACGGUCCUGGCCGACAACCGCCCUGGGAGCGGAAUGGAUGGAGCCCGCAGUCGUCCCGGCGCACUGGGCAAGCUCUGCUCCCACUGUGGCAGGCCAGAUCUCCAUUAGCAACCAGAGCAGCUCUCACCAACGCCUCACUGUCAUUCUGAUGCAUGUAUAAGUUAAACAUUGGAGAAACUGGUGCCUUAAGAGAAUUGGAGAAACUCGUGCCUUAGGAGAAAGGCUAGAAUGUAAAGACAAGUCCAUUAGGAUCCCGCCUGAGCUUUUUCAGCCCCUAGAGUUUAAUUAAAAUAAUGGAGUUGCUCUUGCACACCUUGUACCAGGACCCACUUUAGAUUAUUUCCAAGGCUCUGAAGCAAUUGUCUAGACACCUGACCCUAUUACCGUUAAAGAUUGGCUUGAGUGAAACACUUUGGCUUUCGACUUGUAAAUUAGCACUGAAUGAACUUGUAUUAAUAAUUUUGAGUUGGUCUGGUGAGUUACUCCGACCUUCUCCCUGUAACCUGUUGCAGAAAUAAACUCCGUUCUUUCCC